AACUGUUCCCUCUCACUCACCCUUGAACUCUAGUUAAGGCUCUGCUAGGGCAUAAGUUCCCUUUCCCUCCAACUAGCUACCCUGCUUAAUACUCUCAAUUCUGUAGAUUUAUCCGGAACUCGUUUUCUCUUGCUUGGGUUGCCGUUCUCUGUGUUAGUAUCUAAAAAAGAUGGGAAGCUUGGGGAAGGUGGACCUGACGGUAACAGUGGUGCGGCGUAGAGGGCCCCGUCACCCUUGGCUCUUGGGAGCAGUUUUUAGAUGGCAGUAGUGCUUUUUGUCAUUCCUAGUUCUAGGAGUCUUGAUUGGUGUAACUGUUGAACUUUUGGAUUAUGUUUUGUUUAUGGCAUGGUUGUAUGCCCAGUUUUCAUUGCAAGUACU